rnacentral:rRNA from 1 species
UACGAAGGGGGCUAGCGUUGCUCGGAAUCACUGGGCGUAAAGGGUGCGUAGGCGGGUCUUUAAGUCAGGGGUGAAAUCCUGGAGCUCAACUCCAGAACUGCCUUUGAUACUGAGGAUCUUGAGUUCGGGAGAGGUGAGUGGAUCUGCGAGUGUAGAGGUGAAAUUCGUAGAUAUUCGCAAGAACACCAGUGGCGAAGGCGGCUCACUGGCCCGAUACUGACGCUGAGGCACGAAAGCGUGGGGAGCAAACAGG